rnacentral:rRNA from 1 species
UGAGGAAUAUUGCACAAUGGGGGCAACCCUGAUGCAGCAACGCCGCGUGGAGGAUGACGCAUUUCGGUGUGUAAACUCCUUUUAUAUGUCAAGAAAAUGACGGUAGCAUAUGAAUAAGCACCGGCUAACUCCGUGCCAGCAGCCGCGGUAAUACGGAGGGUGCAAGCGUUAUUCGGAAUCACUGGGCGUAAAGGACGCGUAGGCGGGUUGGUAAGUCAGAUGUGAAAUCCUACAGCUUAACUGUAGAACUGCAUUUGAAACUACCAACCUAGAGUAUGGGAGGGGCAGAUGGAAUUAGUGGUGUAGGGGUAAAAUCCGUAGAUAUCACUAGGAAUACCGAAAGCGAAGGCGAUCUGCUGGAACAUAACUGACGCUAAGGCGUGAAAGCGUGGGGAGCAAACA